UGGAGCUCGGACGCGAGUU
rnacentral:snRNA from 1 species